rnacentral:rRNA from 1 species
UCUUGGUCAUUUAGAGGAAGUAAAAGUCGUAACAAGGUUUCCGUAGGGUAUGUCAUCCUCACUCCGAACCUUCCAAGACGAAUGCUAAUGAUUUCUAGUGAACCUGCGGAAGGAUCAUUACCGAGUUCGGGUCUCUGGCCCAAACCUCAAACCCAUGUGUACCUUAUAAUGUUGCUUCGGUGGGCCAGUGGUCUCCACCGCUGAUGCCUUUGGCAUUGGCGAGUGCCCGCCAGAAGACCAUACAAACUCGUCUUGAAGAGUCUGUCUGAACAAAAACAAAUAUUCAAAACUUUCAACAACGGAUCUCUUGGUUCUGGCAUCGAUGAAGAACGCAGGGAAAUGCGAUAAGUAAUGCGAAUUGCAGAAUCCGUGAGUCAUCGAAUCUUUGAACGCACAUUGCGCCCCUUGGUAUUCCGAGGGGCAUGCCUGUUCGAGCGUCAUUAUCACCCCUCAAACUUCGGUUUGGUGUUGGACCUAGUUAUACUUCGGUACGACUGGUCUCAAAGAUAGUGACGGCGUCCGAGAAGGACCCGGUACGAGGAGUUUUUCAUUUAAACAUGUACACGGCAGGAUUCUCGGGCGGCGGUCUUUAUACUUAUAAAUUAUACAAGUGUUGACCUCGGAUCAGGUAGGAAUCCCCGCUGAACUUAAGCAUAUCCAUAAGCGGCGGA